CCCGUGUUUAUUUUACCUUGUUGCUUCGGCGGGCCCGCCUUAACUGGCCGCCGGGGGGCUUACGCCCCCGGGCCCGCGCCCGCCGAAGACACCCUCGAACUCUGUCUGAAGAUUGUAGUCUGAGUGAAAAUAUAAAUUAUUUAAAACUUUCAACAACGGAUCUCUUGGUUCCGGCAUCGAUGAAGAACGCAGCGAAAUGCGAUACGUAAUGUGAAUUGCAAAUUCAGUGAAUCAUCGAGUCUUUGAACGCACAUUGCGCCCCCUGGUAUUCCGGGGGGCAUGCCUGUCCGAGCGUCAUUUCUGCCCUCAAGCACGGCUUGUGUGUUGGGCCCCGUCCUCCGAUCCCGGGGGACGGGCCCGAAAGGCAGCGGCGGCACCGCGUCCGGUCCUCGAGCGUAUGGGGCUUUGUCACCCGCUCUGUAGGCCCGGCCGGCGCUUGCCGAUCAACCCAAAUUUUUAUCCAGGUUGACCUCGGAUCAGGUAGGGAUACCCGCUGAACUUAAGCAUAUCAAUAAGCGGAGGAA
rnacentral:rRNA from 1 species